UGCAAGUCGAGCGAACAGAUAAGGAGCUUGCUCCUUUGACGUUAGCGGCGGACGGGUGAGUAACACGUGGGUAACCUACCUAUAAGACUGGGAUAACUUCGGGAAACCGGAGCUAAUACCGGAUAACAUUUGGAACCGCAUGGUUCUAAAGUGAAAGAUGGUUUUGCUAUCACUUAUAGAUGGACCCGCGCCGUAUUAGCUAGUUGGUAAGGUAACGGCUUACCAAGGCGACGAUACGUAGCCGACCUGAGAGGGUGAUCGGCCACACUGGAACUGAGACACGGUCCAGACUCCUACGGGAGGCAGCAGUAGGGAAUCUUCCGCAAUGGGCGAAAGCCUGACGGAGCAACGCCGCGUGAGUGAUGAAGGGUUUCGGCUCGUAAAACUCUGUUAUUAGGGAAGAACAAACGUGUAAGUAACUGUGCACGUCUUGACGGUACCUAAUCAGAAAGCCACGGCUAACUACGUGCCAGCAGCCGCGGUAAUACGUAGGUGGCAAGCGUUAUCCGGAAUUAUUGGGCGUAAAGCGCGCGUAGGCGGUUUCUUAAGUCUGAUGUGAAAGCCCACGGCUCAACCGUGGAGGGUCAUUGGAAACUGGGAAACUUGAGUGCAGAAGAGGAAAGUGGAAUUCCAUGUGUAGCGGUGAAAUGCGCAGAGAUAUGGAGGAACACCAGUGGCGAAGGCGACUUUCUGGUCUGUAACUGACGCUGAUGUGCGAAAGCGUGGGGAUCAAACAGGAUUAGAUACCCUGGUAGUCCACGCCGUAAACGAUGAGUGCUAAGUGUUAGGGGGUUUCCGCCCCUUAGUGCUGCAGCUAACGCAUAAGCACUCCGC
rnacentral:rRNA from 1 species